rnacentral:miRNA from 1 species
AUCUCAGGCUCGUCAGCCCGUG